UACAGAGGGUGCAAGCGUUAAUCGGAAUUACUGGGCGUAAAGGGUGUGUAGGUGGUGAUGUAAGUUAGGUGUGAAAUCCUCGGGCUUAACCUGAGAAUUGCGCUUAAUACUGCAUUUCUAGAGUACUGCAGAGGGCAGUGGAAUUUCCAGUGUAGCGGUGAAAUGCGUAGAUAUUGGAAGGAACACCAGUGGCGAAGGCGACUGCCUGGAUAGAUACUGACACUGAGACACGAAAGCGUGGGUAGCAAACAGGAUUAGAAA
rnacentral:rRNA from 1 species